GGACAGACACUAAAGCUGCACUCUGCUGUGGCUGGUCAAACGGAACCAAGUCCGUCUUCCUUGGAGGUUUGGUCCCCUUCAACCAGCUAUAGCAGUGCUGAAAUCAUCCGGCCCCAGGA
rnacentral:pre_miRNA from 14 species